AUUGAACGCUGGCGGCAGGCUUAACACAUGCAAGUCGAGCGAGCGGAGGACGGGUGAGUAAUGUCUGGGAAACUGCCUGAUGGAGGGGGAUAACUACUGGAAACGGUAGCUAAUCCCGCAUACCAUCAGAUGUGCCCAGAUGGGAUAAGCUAGGAGGUGGGGUAAUGGCUCACCUAGGCGACGAUCCGUAGCUGGUCUGAGAGGAUGACCAGCCACACGGGAGCUGAGACACGGUCCAGACGCCUACGGGAGGCAGCAGUGGGGAAUAUGGGACAAUGGGCGGAAGCCUGAUGCAGCCAGGCCGCGUGUGUGAAGAAGGCGUUCGGGGUGUAAAGCACUUUCAGCGGGGAGGCGGUACCCGCAGAAGAAGCACCGGCUAACUCCGUGCCAGCAGCCGCGGUAAUUC
rnacentral:rRNA from 1 species